rnacentral:misc_RNA from 1 species
CUAAAUCUCGUAUCCUGACAGUUAGGAUAAAGAGACUUUUAGAAUUUAACAAAGAUUGAUAAAACUUGGUGGUGUUAUACAAACAAAAAUAAAACUGGCGGUAUUAAAAAAUGUACCACCGAUAAAGAUUGUAAUGGGAAUUACUAUCAAUGUGUAUCCCCGUGUUACCUUAAAAAGUUUAUUAAAAUAUUUAAAAAAAUGACGAUGCACUAGAUAAUGUAAUGUCAUAAAUAUUUAAAUUCAAAAUUAAGUAAAACUAAAGUAAAUUACUAUUAUUGUGAAA